rnacentral:sRNA from 1 species
CUAUGGAGAGAAAAUCAGUGCUGAGUAUUGUGAAGAAUUAAC